AUUGAACGCUGGCGGCAUGCCUUACACAUGCAAGUCGAACGGCAGCACGGACUUCGGUCUGGUGGCGAGUGGCGAACGGGUGAGUAAUACAUCGGAACGUGCCUAGUAGUGGGGGAUAACGAUUCGAAAGAGUAGCUAAUACCGCAUACGACCUACGGGUGAAAGUGGGGGAUCGCAAGACCGCAUGCUAUUGGACCGGCCGAUGUCAGAUUAGCUAGUUGGUGAGGUAAAAGCUCACCAAGGCGACGAUCUGUAGCUGGUGUGAGAGGACGACCAGCCGCCCGGGGCCUGCGACACGGCCCGGGCCCCUGCGGGAGGCCGCAGUGGUGAGUUUUGGACAAUGGGCGCAAGCCUGAACCAGCAAUGCCGCGUGUGUGAAGAAGGCCUUCGGGUUGUAAAGCACUUUUGUUCGGGAAGAAAAGAUUCGUGCUAAUACCAUGGGUCGAUGACGGUACCGGAAGAAUAAGCACCGGCUAACUACGUGCCAGCAGCCGCUGUAA
rnacentral:rRNA from 1 species